GAAACCGAAAGUCCGCAAGGACAAGUAGAGUGCAAACGGGUGAGUAACGCGUGGUGACUGCCUUCGAGCGGGGAUAACGUUCCGAAAGGAACGCUAAUACCGCACGAUAUCCCGCUGUUGAAGCGGCGGAGAUCAAAGCUGGGGAUCGCAAGACCCAGCACUCGAAGAGGGGCCCGCGUCCGAUUAGCUAGUUGGUGGGGUAACGGCUCACCAAGGCGACGAUCGUUAGCCGGCCUGAGAGGGCGGACGGCCACACUGGGACUGAGACACGGCCCAGACUCCUACGGGAGGCAGCAGUGGGGAAUUGUUCGCAAUGGGCGCAAGCCUGACGACGCAACGCCGCGUGGAGGAUGAAGAUCUUCGGGUCGUAAACUCCUUUCGAUCGAGACGAAUUCUCCGGGGAUGAACAGUCUCCGGGGGUGACGGUACCGAGAGAAGAAGCCCCGGCUAACUCCGUG
rnacentral:rRNA from 1 species